AGCAGCAGCCACGGGAAUACGUAGGGUGCGAGCGUUAAUCGGAAUUACUGGGCGUAAAGCGUGCGCAGGCGGUUGUGUAAGACAGGUGUGAAAUCCCCGGGCUCAACCUGGGAAUGGCAAUGGAUACUGGCAAGCUAGAGUGUGUCAGAGGAUGGUGGAAUUCCCGGUGUAGCGGUGAAAUGCGUAGAGAUCGGGAGGAACAUCAGUGGCGAAGGCGGCCAUCUGGGACAACACUGACGCUGAGGCACGAAAGCGUGGGGAGCAAACAGGAUUAGAUACCCCUGUAGUCCCUGUCUCUUAUAC
rnacentral:rRNA from 1 species